rnacentral:rRNA from 1 species
UACGUAGGGUGCAAGCGUUGUCCGGAAUUAUUGGGCGUAAAGAGCUCGUAGGCGGUUUGUUGCGUCGGCUGUGAGAUCCCGAGGCUCAACCUCGGGUCUGCAGUCGAUACGAGCAAACUAGAGUGUUGCAGGGGAGACUGGAAUUCCUGGUGUAGCGGUGAAAUGCGCGGAUAUCAGGAGGAACACCGGUGGCGAAGGCGGGUCUCUGGGCAGUACCUGACGCUGAGGAGCGAAAGUGUGGGGAGCGAACAGG